rnacentral:rRNA from 1 species
UGACCUCAAAUCAGGUAGGACUACCCGCUGAACUUAAGCAUAUCAAUAAGCGGAGGAAAAGAAACUAACAAGGAUUCCCCUAGUAACUGCGAGUGAAGCGGGAAAAGCUCAAAUUUAAAAUCUGGCAGUCUUUUGGCUGUCCGAGUUGUAAUCUAGAGAAGUGUUAUCCGCGCUGGACCAUGUACAAGUCUCCUGGAAUGGAGCAUCAUAGAGGGUGAGAAUCCCGUCUUUGACAUGGACUUCCAGGGCUUUGUGAUGCGCUCUCAAAGAGUCGAGUUGUUUGGGAAUGCAGCUCAAAAUGGGUGGUAAAUUCCAUCUAAAGCUAAAUAUUGGCGAGAGACCGAUAGCGAACAAGUACCGUGAGGGAAAGAUGAAAAGAACUUUGGAAAGAGAGUUAAACAGUACGUGAAAUUGCUGAAAGGGAAACGCUUGAAGUCAGUCGCGUCGUCCAGGGAUCAACCUUGCUUUUGCUUGGUGCACUUCCUGGUUUGAUGGGUCAGCAUCAAUUUUGACUAUUGGAAAAAGGUUAAGGGAAUGUGGCAUCUUUGGAUGUGUUUAUAGCCCUUGGUCACAUACAAUGGUUGGGGUUGAGGAACUCAGCACGCCGCAAGGCCGGGUUUUAACCACGUACGUGCU